AUUCGGCAUGAUAACUAGAUGACGGUCUCACAAACACAACGACCAUAGUCCUUUAAGUUGCCGAUAUAUCAAGUGCGAGGAUCUUACACGUUCUCUGAUUUUCUCUCCUGACGUUACACGUUUAAUCUUUCGCAACAUAC
rnacentral:snoRNA from 1 species